rnacentral:lncRNA from 1 species
AGAAGUUAAGGCCUGGCUUCUGCUCCCGUCGCGUCCCGGCGCGUCCGGGUUCAAAUCCGCCUGCCGACCUCUCGGGGUGUUUGAGAGGUGAUGAAAUGGGAGGUGGCCCCCCAUCUUGUGGACGAUGUAGGACGUGAUAAAAUCAACUCGCGAGCUGACCAGGAAUUAAGUUGACGCGCCGUUGAUCCGCUAGAUUUGGUUGGAUGCUGGUGGUGAGUUGCCAAACUCAAAGAGUACACUCUGAAGUCGGAUGGGGUGAAUGGCUUAGGGUGCCCCUCUAGCAGGGGAGAGCAGGGAAUUGCCUCGGGAAGGAGGCCACUGGUGAAGCUUAACCACCCUGUAACAACAUCAACUCCCCAUAAUCAAUCCCCUCGCGUUGCUCGAAACCCUUGGCAACUAAACGCGCCUUAAAACGCUCCACGCUGCCGUCAUCGCUGUACUUAACCUUAUAUACCCAACGACACGGCAACAAACGAGUACCAGGAGGUGGCUUCUUCAACUCCCAAGUACUAUUAGCCAUCUGGGCGGCGAUCUCCUCGUCCAUCGCACGCCGCCAGUCGUCUGCAUGUGCACUCGCAAUGGCUUCCGCAAAAGAAUUCGGUUCGGGAAUAUCAGUAGAGAAAGCAGCGUUAACGCGACCAGUAACAGUGCGACCAGGUUCAUUUCGCCACCAUUCGCCAGGGCGUUUACGCUCUCUAACUGGGUACCUAGUUCCCGCCAUUUCCACAUCAGGCUGAUUGAUUCCUUGCCCGUUCGCACUGCUGGAAGGUCCAGCCCCAGCCGGCGCCCCCUCGCCACCCAAAUGCGGCGAUCCCUCGCCGACGGUGCUACCUGGUGUCCCUUCGCCAGCCCUAGGCAGCGAUCCCUCACCAGAUAAACUAGUGCGAAACUCCCCUCUUCGUGGGCAUCGACUUAUAUCGGAGUCCCCGGCAUUACGCCGCCGCCGGACAUUAAGAUUCAUCGAAACGAACGUUAGAAACUAUGGCAAUAAUGCCGUCCACGUAUAGCACACGAUAUUGUCUUCCGUUCCCGUAUCCAACAAGUAUUCCAGGCCUGCUCACCGGGUCGAACUUGUCGCGCUUGACGUCGGGUACGUGGACGUAGGCAACGCAUCCUAAGACUCGCAUGUGACUGACGUUCGGACGAACAUUAAAGAAAGCUUCGUACGGAGUGACGGUUGACCCAGCAGUUGGCGACACAUUCCUAAGAUAGUUGGCUGUCGCUAACGCCUCUGCCCAUAAUGAUUUAGGCAGUCCAGAUUCAACGAGCAUAGCCCUAGUCUUGUCCAAAAGAGUGCGAUUUAAACGUUCCGCAGCUCCGUUCUGCUCAGGGGUGUAGCCUACCGUGUACAAUACCCCUGGAAGCGAAAUAGCCCUUCGUGCGAGUAUUAACGAACUCCCCGCCACGAUCUGUACGCACCUCCUUAACCUGCCUGCCAGUAGCGCGCUCCAGUUCCGCUAUCAUUACCACCAUCUUCUGGUAGACCUCCUCCUUGGUCGCUGUAAACGCAACAGCUGAAAGACCAGUAUGAUCGUCAAGCAGAGUUGUCACGUAACGCGAACCACUAGGCGAAGGUUCAGGCAUAGGUCCACACACAUCCAUGUGAAUGAGUGCGAGAGGCUGCGCUGCCUUAUGCCCAGUUAGCGGAAAAGGACCACGUGUAUGCUUAGCAAAGACGCAAGUCUCACACACACACGCGCUGGCUGAUUGUAUGCUGUGUCGGUCAACAUCGAAUCCAGCUACCAUAUCAUGACGCAGCAGCGCCUCAAGGUUGCUGUAUCCUAAGUGGCCAUACCUUCGGUGCCAAAGUGCUGCACGUUCAGCUCCGAUACCAACGGCAGCACACACUGCAUCACCACCAGAAGGUAUCCUGUUGUCUUAACGCUGCGUCCACUUCAGAGCGCCAGUACCUCCACUGCUGUAGUAGACGGGAUACAAGUCCCCAUCCCGCUUUCCAGUCAGCACCAACUGAUUCUGGAUGCCACGAACGCUACCUGCCGCGGAACUCCUGGUCCCCUAGCUGAUCUACCGGAUCCUGGCUUGCUGCCGCUAGCUCCGCUGCCACUAGCUCCGCUGCCACUAGCUCCGCUGCCACUGUUGUUGUAGCCACCCUUAUAUCCAGAAUUUGACGACUGCUUCAGCGCUUUAAGCUGCCUGCAGUCCCUUACCACGUGCCCAGGCUUAUUACAGUAGUAGCAGAUGAGUUGCUUCCGACUGUGUCCCGAGCUGUUGUUAGCCGGCCCCCGGCUACCAUAACCAGAAGUAGAAGCGCCGAACGUAGAUCCGCCGACAGACGCGAAGGCUGCCGACUCGGUAGGCUUGCCCGACCCACCGUUAGCCGUCUCGAUAGAGAGAAGCUUUGCUGUGACGCUCGCCAUGUCCAAAUCGCCGUCACGCAUUAGUAAUGUAGUCGUCACCACGCUGUACCGACUGGGUAGACCAACCAGGACGGUGUACGUGUCGUUAAUUACGUGGCCGACUCCCAAUAAAUCUGUUUGCAGCUGCCUUGCACGCGCAAAGUACAUCGGAAGAGGUUCGCCGUCGACCAUCUUAAAACGGCUGAAUUCUUGACGUAGAGAAACCUUGCGGGCGUUGUUGUUGGCAGCAAACCUGGAACUAAGUUGAUGCGCCGUUGAUCCGCUAGAUUUGGUUGGAUGCUGGUGGUGAGUUGCCGAACCCAACGAAUACAUUCUGAAGUCGGAUGGGGUGACGGAUUAGGGUGCCCCUCUAGCAGGGGAGAGCAGGGACUGCCCCGGGAAAGGGGGCCGCUGGCGAAGUUAACCACCCUGUAACAACAUAGAGCCCAAGGCGUCCCAGGCCUUCUUCGCGUUGGCAGCACCGGUAACCAUUGGCAAGUGGUGAUCCUUGACGUUCUUGAUAAGCAGAUUGAUGACCUUUCGUGAUUGUCGAAUCUGCUCCUCGUUGCACGGCUCGGCGAGCAAGGAUUGCUCAAGCCCAAGCUCCAUGCACAUCGCGCUAAACCGGAUUUGCCAGGUGGAGUAGUUGUGGAGGUCCAGCGGCUCAUCAAGCUUGUCCUUGACCAUUGUUGAUUAGGGAUAGAAAUAACAAUCAGACGAUAGCUGUCGGCGCUAGGCGGGGCUCAUAACCUAUUGGAGACCAGCAGGGACGUCGUUACCAUGUUGAAGCGGCUGGGUAGACCAACCAGCACUGCGUACGCCAGCUCCGAGUCGCUGAUAACGUGCCCCACUCCCAACAAGUGUGACUGUAAUUGCCGUGCACGUGCAAAGUACUUGGGUAGCGGCUCGCCGUCGACCAUCUUGAAACGGCUGUACUCUUGACGGAGAGCUACCUUGCGUGCGUUAUUGUUGGCGACAAACAUCGCGGCCAAAGCUUCCCAUGCUUCCCAUUCGCGUUCACAGCACCCGUAACCAUCGGCAAAUCUUUAACAUUCUUGAUGAGCAGGUUGAUAACCUCACGAGAUUGUCGAAUCUGUUCCUCGUUUCCCGGCUCGGCGAGCAAGGACUGCUCAAGCCCAAGCUCCAUACACAGCGUGCUGAACCGAAUUUGCCAGGUGGCGUAGUUGUUCAAGUCUAGAGGCUCGUCAAGCUUGUCCUUCCCCAUUGUGGAAUACGAGUAUGAAGGUAGAUGCUGCUAGCGUUAGCCGGGGCUCAUAACCUGUUAAAAAUAUGAAGGAGGCAAGGAGAAUGGUCGCGAUAUAAGUAUUACAGUCGGUAGGUGAGUGGUGAACGGCAGAAAGACUUUAGGAGAUUCCUACUAAGGAAUACCGAUCCAUACAAAGAUGAGAUACCAAGACUUGCAUAACUUGUGUCUUAUAUACCAGUACCAAUGGAAGUAUCGUUCAGUCGCCCACCAUCUAUCUAUCGUACAGUCGCCACCAUCUAUCGGAUUCAUCGCCUAUCUACCACCUAUCUACGUUGGGAUAGGACCAGGAUUCCAAAGGCUGAUUUCAUUCAUGGCAUACGGUGAGCAUCCGAUGGUUUCUGGACUCAGCAUUAAUGCAUCACAUCACCCCUGACCCCUCUGAGUUAUUUAACGUGUCUUUGUGUUGCAAAUGACCGACACUCAUAUACCAGUGAAUGGUAGCCGNNNNNNNNNNNNNNNNNNNNNNNNNNNNNNNNNNNNNNNNNNNNNNNNNNNCCAUUCACUGGUAUAUGAGUGUCGGUCAUUUGCAACACAAAGAGGCACACAACACACUGGGGGUUGGAGCAGUGGGAGCACUUCAAUAUCAUGGGCAUCAAGGGUCAAGCUUUGCAUCCAAUUGCAACGGUGGUCGGCUCACUCAUUAUUCCAGCCAACAUCAACGACAAACAGGCCAUUUCUUUCAAUAAGGUCUACUUUGGUGAGGAGGCAACAGUCAAGGUCUUGUCAGUUCCACGCACCAUCAAUGUAUUGGAGAAUUGGCGACGGUGACGGCUGACGCUUGUUGUUAUUCCGGAAGGAUUGCCGGCGGCGAAGAUAUUGAACACGAUAAACUGUUACAAGUAAUAUAAGGAGUAAUAGUAUGCGUUUGGCAGGACUUUAGGAGAUUCCGUUUGAGGAAUACCGAUCGUUGUGAGAUAAAGAAAUAAGCGCAGUCACCGCCCUAAAUACCGGUGCUAGCGGAAAACUCGUACAUUCCGCGAUCUCACUGCACGUACAUUCCGCAAUCUCACUGCGCCGUCCUGACGGUGCCCAAAUGUCUAUCACUUAGCUACCGAAUAUGCAUCGGUAGCCCCAUAAAGUUCUGGGGUAAGUCUUCCCCAAUAGUCAGGCACAGACCCGGGGCCAAAUCCCCUGGUCGACAACCACACGAGUUGGGAGAGGACCGUUUCCUCAACACGCCCCCUCGGGCCGUAUCCCAACGAGUACCAAGUUCAUCAGCACGCUUCACACAAGGCCCAUCGCACCUCGGCAACGUUUGAAUUUCACCUCGCCCAGAGCUUUCGUGAGCACAUCCGCAACCAUCCACUCCGUAGGGCAGUAUUCCAACUGCACCUCACCGCUAUUCACCCUCUCACGCACUAUGUGAAGCUGUACGUCGAUGUGCUUCGACCGAGCAGACGUAAUCGGGUUAUUUCCUAAGCUAAGCGCCCCCUGGGAAUCUAUUUGAAUCUUGAUAGCGCUCUCAGGCAAACCCAAAACGACCAUCAGCCUGUGAAGCCACAAAGCUUCACGAACAGCUGCCGCUGUAGCUUGAUACUCGGCCUCCACCGACGAAGCCGCCACAGUACGUUGAAGUUGACUGCACCAGCUAAUCGCAGCCCCAUUUAGAGUAAAAACGUAUCAGGAAGUAGAAUGCCGUGUAAACGGGUCUCCUGCCCAGUCAGAAUCGCUAUACCCAGACAUCUCAAUGUCGCCAACACCCCCAAAACGCAAUCCUAGUUCGCGAGUACCCGCCAGGUAACGCAGAAUGCCGGUUGCCAAGUUCAUGGCAGUCUUUGUAAGUGUGGCCAUAUGCCGGGACAAAAGACUCCAUGCAUAAGGAAUGUCAGGGCGAGUGUUAGUCGCUAGGUAGUCCAACUUUCCCACCAAAGCCCUAUGCACCAUGGGAUCCAGCAGCUCAUCUCUAUCCCCCGUGCACCUAAAACCCGGAGCCAAAGGGGUAGACCGUGGCUUGGCGUCCACCGUCUGGUGACGCUCCAAUAGCUGCUCAAUAUUGCGACAACACUAAUUCACCCGGCUUCAUCAUCAGUAUUUCCAUGCCCGAAAACACCUGCGCUUCUCCAAGUUCUCGUACUUCUCUUACAUCUUUGCACCUAGCCAUGCAAAAAAGCGCUUGACCUUCCACUCUUUUCAACUUGUACAACCACCGGUACAUUAGGACAUCAUGAGGCUGUGCACACAGCUCACAAGUGCCGUUAGCUGCCAAUGCAGCAAUCUCCUCGACCAUCACUCUGCGCCACUCAUUUGCAUUUGCACCUGAAAUGGCUUCAGUGAAAGUAUUACUCAGCAAAAAUUCAGCAGGGUACGGAUAAGUGACAGCCACGUUAAUGCGACCUACUAUCCUCCUUCCUGCAACACCAUGCCACCACUCCGAGGGCUAUAAUAUCUCCUCAUAUUCCCUGCCCUAUUCUUCUGAACUCCUGCGCUGGCUUGCACCACUAGAUGUUCCGGCUUCAUCCGGCAUUCCUUCACCAUCCACAGGUGACAGUGGUGCCUAGCCGACUGUGAGGCCCUGACUCAGGUACACCAAUACUAGCCGCUACAAAACUUUCACGGCACUCACGCCCGCCAGUCGUCUGCAUGUGGGCCUGAGAUGCCUUCGGCAUAAAUGUUAGGCUCUGAAUCCCAGCAGAUACUGCAGCAAUGACUCGGCCUGUAGCACUACGACCAGGUACACUCCGUCACCACUCGCCAGGCCGUUUGCAUUCCCUAACUGAAUACCGAGCCCCCAGCAUUUCCACAUCAGUGUGUGUGUUUCCUUCGACAUUCACACGUCUGGGAGGUCCAGCCCCAGCCAGCGCCCCUUCGUCACCCAAAUGCGGCGAUCCCUUGCUGACGGUAUUGCCUGAUGUUGCGAAUGAACAUUCGCUGUUGAGGAAACGGUCCUCUCCCAACUCGUGUGGUUGUCGACCAGGGGAUUUGACCCCGGGUCUGCACCUGACUAAUGUGGAAGACUUACCCCAGAACUUUAUGGGGCUACCGAUGCAUAUCCGGUAGCUAAGUGAUAGACAUUAGGGCACCGUCUGGACGGCGCAGUGAGAUCGCGGAAUGUACGUGCAGUUAGAUCGCGGAAUGUACGAGUUUUCCCCUAGCGCCGGUAUUUAGGGCGGUGACUGCGCCUAUUAGUUUAUCUCACAACGAUCGGUAUUCCUACCAGGAAUCUCCUCAAGUCCUGCCGAACGCUAACAAUACUCUUUACAUUACUUGUAACAGUUUAUCGUGUUUCAUAUCUUCGCCGCCGGCAAUUCUUCCGAGAUAACAAUCAGCGUUAGCCGUCACCGUCGCCAAUUCUUCAAUAGGUUAUGAGCCCCGCCUAGCGCCGACAGCUAUCGCCCAAUUGUUAUUUCUAUCCCUCAUCGACAAUGGUUAAGGACAAGCUUGAUGAGUCGCUGGACCUCAACAACUACUCUACCUGGCAAAUUCGGUUUAGCGCGAUGUGCAUGGAGCUUGGGCUUGAGCAAUCCCUGCUCGCCGAGCCGUGCAACGAGGAGCAAAUUCGACAGUCACGGAAGGUCAUCAAUCUGCUCAUCAAGAACGUCAAGGAUCAUCAUUUGCCGAUGGUUACCGGUGCUGCCUGUUAAGACCAGCAAAGCGCCGGACCCCCGUUGGGUCCUAUUACUGUGGCUACCAUUCACUGGUAUAUGAAUGUCGGUCAUUUCCAACACCCCCCCGUGAGCGACACUCUCUCGCUACGGGCCUUCCCGUGCCUCAUCCCGGUCUCCCAUUCUCUGGGCAACAGCCAGUGGGUAUCGAUCCGGCGACCUCUCGGCAGCGCAAUGCGCCAUUCGGGGCUCAUAACCUGUUAAGACCAGCAAAGCGCCGGACCCCCGUUGGGUCCUAUUACUGUGGCUACCAUUCACUGGUAUAUGAAUGUCGGUCAUUUCCAACACUGCCAACGCGAAGAAGGCCUGGGACGCCUUGGGAUCUAUGGGAUCUAUGUCUGCUCCCGUCGCGUCCCGGCGCGUCCGGGUUCAAAUCCGCCUGCCGACCUCUCGGGGUGUUUGAGAGGUGAUGAAAUGGGAGGUGGCCCCCCAUCUUAUGGACGGUGUAGGACGUGAUAAAAUCAACUCGCGAGCUGACCAGGAACUAAGUUGACGCGCCGUUGAUCCGCUAGAUUUGGUUGGAUGCUGGUGGUGAGUUGCCAAACUCAAAGAGUACACUCUGAAGUCGGAUGGGGUGAAUGGCUUAGGGUGCCCCUCUAGCAGGGGAGAGCAGGGAACUGCCUCGGGAAGGAGGCCACUGGUGAAGCUUAACCACCCUGUAACAACAUCAACAUCAACAACGCCCGGCGGGCGGCUGGCAGAGGUUAAGGCCUGGCUUCUGCUCCCGGCGCGUUACGGCACGUCCGGGUUCAAAUCCGCCUGCCGACCUCUCGGGGUGUUUGAGAGGUGUUGAAAUGGGAGGUGGCCCCCCAUCUUAUGGACGGUGUAGGACGUGAUAAAAUCAACUCGCGAGCUGACCAGGAACUAAGAUGACGCGCCGUUGAUCCGCUAGAUUUGGUUGGAUGCUGGUGGUGAGUUGCCAAACUCAAAGAGUACACUCUGAAGUCGGAUGGGGUGAAUGGCUUAGGGUGCCCCUCUAGCAGGGGAGAGCAGGGAACUGCCUCGGGAAGGAGGCCACUGGUGAAGCUUAACCACCCUGUAACAACAUCAACAACGCCCGCAAGGUGUCUCUACGUCAAGAAUUCAG